rnacentral:rRNA from 1 species
UACGGGGGGGGUAAGCGUUGUUCGGAAUUACUGGGCGUAAAGGGCUCGUAGGCGGCCAACUAAGUCAGACGUGAAAUCCCUCAGCUUAACUGGGGAACUGCGUCUGAUACUGGAUGGCUUGGAUCCGGAAGAGGGAUGCGGAAUUCCAGGUGUAGCGGUGAAAUGCGUCGAUAUCUGGAGGAACACCGGUGGCGAAGGCGGCAUCCUGGACCGAGAUUGACGCUGAGGCGCGAAAGCCAGGGGAGCAAACGGG